UACGUAGGCAGCAAGCGUUGUUCGGAAUUACUGGGCUUAAAGAGUUCGUAGGCGGCAUUGCAAGUAGGGUGUGAAAGCCCUCGGCUCAACCGAGGAAUUGCGCUCUAAACUGCAGUGCUCGAGGAAGCUAGAGGUGAGCAGAACAGAUGGUGGAGCGGUGAAAUGCGUUGAUAUCAUCUGGAAUACCGGAGGCGAAGGCGGCUCACUGGGGCUUUUCUGACGCUGAGGAACGAAAGCCAGGGUAGCGAACGGG
rnacentral:rRNA from 1 species